GACUAUAUUUUCUUAAUUCACCCCUGAACUGCAAUGUUUACAAUUACUCAUUUCCUGUUUGCAAAGAUUUUGCAUCUGCUGUGUUUCAUUAGAUAUUACACAGUUUUAUUCCGUUUUUACUGUUACGGGAGUCCAUAUCUUCUUUUAGAAGAUACUGUGCAUGAUGUGGAAAUAUUUUAGAACAUUUUUAGACAAAGGCGAGUCCUUUCACAACUUUUCCAGUGUCGGUGGCAUGUCAUUUUGCCUUGUUGAUGUGUAUACCAUGCAAUGAUACCAUGCUACCGAGUCCGAUGCCAGUAAAGAAGCUUGAGAAUUCCUGUUGUAGUUUUCAAUUUAUCAGGACUGUAUCAUGAUCAAAGACAUCCCAACGAAGAUCAGCUAGUCAGACAAUAAGACUGCAACUCAUACAUUUUAUAGAAGUACCAAGAUUACAUGUACAUAGACAAUAUCAUUGUCAAUGUCCAUGACUGCAUGAGCAAGCAAUGAAGCAUGACAUAACUUGAUAACUUCUAAGGACAUUUUUGUAUGUGUGGCUUUUCACUUGACUGUCUCUUGAAUGUGUGGCACAGUGUCCUAUUUAUUGGAAUAAAUCAGAGAAAACUGUGUUCAUGCAUGGUGUAUGCACCCUCUAUCCACUGUGAAAAGGGAGAGCAUGCGCGAUAACAGGAGUAUCCAGGCACGACAAAAACAGAAAGAUCCCUAGACCAUGGAGUAAUAGUAUUACUAACCAGUGUUACCCACAGUCUACCAAGAAAACUAGUACUGAAUAAGGUUUCACACACACAAUGGUGGUUCAUGUGAGAGGAAGAAGUGAUUUGUUGGAGAAAGUUCUUGCUUGUCUUUAUCUACAAAUGAUGUUAAUUUUACAGUAUAUAGAACAUUGAGGGAUUGAUUGAACAAAGCUAUAUAUAGAAAAUAUAUCAAAAUAUUAACUUUA